rnacentral:rRNA from 1 species
GUGGGGAAUCUUCCGCAAUGGGCGAAAGCCUGACGGAGCAACGCCGCGUGAGUGAUGACGGCCUUCGGGUUGUAAAGCUCUGUUAUAUGGGACGAACGGGCAUGGGGCCAAUACCCUCAUGCAGUGACGGUACCGUAAGAGAAAGCCACGGCUAACUACGUGCCAGCAGCCGCGGUAAUACGUAGGUGGCAAGCGUUGUCCGGAAUUAUUGGGCGUAAAGGGCGUGUAGGCGGCCAGAGAAGUCUGCCUUAAAAGUGCGGGGCUCAACCCCGUGAUGGGAUGGAAACUGUCGGGCUAGAGUGUCGGAGAGGAAAGCGGAAUUCCUAGUGUAGCGGUGAAAUGCGUAGAUAUUAGGAGGAACACCAGUGGCGAAAGCGGCUUUCUGGACGACAACUGACGCUGAGGCGCGAAAGCCAGGGGAGCAAACGGGAUUAGAAACCCCAGUAGUCC